GAUCAUGGCUCAGGAUGAACGCUGGCGGCGUGCUUAACACAUGCAAGUCGAGCGAAGCACUUAAGUUAGAUUCUUCGGAUGAAGACUUUGUGACUGAGCGGCGGACGGGUGAGUAACGCGUGGUAACCUGCCUCAUACAGGGGAUAACAGUUAGAAAUGACUGCUAAUACCGCAUAAGACCACGGUACCGCAUGGUACAGUGGUAAAACUCCGGUGGUAUGAGAUGGACCGNGU
rnacentral:rRNA from 1 species